rnacentral:rRNA from 1 species
GAUGAACGCUAGCGAUAGGCUUAACACAUGCAAGUCGAGGGGCAGCAUGGUCUUAGCUUGCUAAGACUGAUGGCGACCGGCGCACGGGUGCGUUACGCGUAUGCAACUUGCCUCACAGAGGGGGAUAACCCGUCGAAAGACGGACUAAUACCGCGUACACUUGGGAUAGGGCAUCCUGACCCAAGGAAAUGAAAUUCGCUGUGAGAUAGGCAUGCGUCCCAUUAGCUAGUUGGUGAGGUAACGGCUCACCAAGGCGACGAUGGGUAGGGGAACUGAGAGGUUGAACCCCCACACUGGUACUGAGACACGGACCAGACUCCUACGGGAGGCAGCAGUGAGGAAUAUUGGUCAAUGGGCGAGAGCCUGAACCAGCCAAGUCGCGUGAAGGAUGACUGUCUUAUGGAUUGUAAACUUCUUUUAUACGGGAAUAGCAAGAGCCACGUGUGGCUCCCUGCAUGUACCGUAUGAAUAAGCAUCGGCUAACUCCGUG